UGAUAACUGUUUUAAAUACAACUUGAGGGCUCAUGUGAUGGACUGAACGUCCAAGAUUUGUACUUUGCUUGAUGGAUAAUUAUAUAGGGUUGGAUUCAGAAUUAUGAGUUUUUCGGGUUCUGGUUUCAAGAAAAGAAGACAAAAAGUUGUACUGCUACUAAUGUCAUUGCUCAUGAUUAUAAAGUUUUAUGGAAGAAGGAGCCAAUUCGCACUUGUUGAGCUCUCUGCCUUCUGCAUUUAAAUUGUGAGAAGUUUCUCGGCCCAAAUUUUGUAUACAUCGCCCGUCACAUGACUAUGUGAAUUCGGCCCGAAGUUAUUAUUUUAGUAAACUUUACCUAA